UCUGGCAGUGAUGAGCCACUUGCCUCUCUGAGAACAGAGUUCGGUAAUGAGACCCUUUACUCUGGACUCAAGUUCUGAGCCAGA
rnacentral:snoRNA from 1 species